UUCCUCUCAGGGUCACACCUGGAGAGUUUCCACUACUCUACCAGUCUCCGCUAUAGGAUGGAGAGUCAAGCAGAGGCCUGUCCAUUCCAUUCCUAGUUUGGGCAGUGGCUAGUGAGUGGAAGGCAAUCUGCUACAGGU
rnacentral:snoRNA from 1 species